rnacentral:rRNA from 1 species
UAUAUUUGAGAGUUUGAUCCUGGCUCAGGAUGAACGCUGGCGGCGUGCCUAACACAUGCAAGUCGAGCGAACCCUUCGGGGUGAGCGGCGGACGGGUGAGUAACGCGUGGGUAACCUGCCCUGUACACACGGAUAACAUACCGAAAGGUAUGCUAAUACGGGAUAAUAUAUGAGAGUCGCAUGGCUUUUGUAUCAAAGCUCCGGCGGUACAGGAUGGACCCGCGUCUGAUUAGCUAGUUGGUAAGGUAACGGCUUACCAAGGCAACGAUCAGUAGCCGACCUGAGAGGGUGAUCGGCCACAUUGGAACUGAGACACGGUCCAAACUCCUACGGGAGGCAGCAGUGGGGAAUAUUGCACAAUGGGCGAAAGCCUGAUGCAGCAACGCCGCGUGAGCGAUGAAGGCCUUCGGGUCGUAA